AUAUAUAUAUAUUUUUAAUUUCUAUAGAAGCUGUUGAAUGCAAUGACUUGAUUAUUGCAAAAAAUAAUAAAGAUUUUGACAAUGAACAUCCUGGUCCAAAGUGCCAAAAUCCUGCUCACGGUGAAUUGUCAGUACACAAAAAACGUCGGAAGCUCAACCAAUCCAAUUUGUUUGAUGAAUCAACUGAUUCAGAUUAAUUUAUUUAAAUAAAAUAUAUAAUUUUAUCUUA